GACGAACGCUGGCGGCGUGCUUAACACAUGCAAGUCGAACGGAAAGGCCCUGCUUGCAGGGUACUCGAGUGGCGAACGGGUGAGUAACACGUGGGUGAUCUGCCCUGCACUUCGGGAUAAGCUUGGGAAACUGGGUCUAAUACCGGAUAGGAGCCAUCUUUAGUGUGGUGGUUGGAAAGUUUUUUCGGUGUAGGAUGAGCUCGCGGCCCAUCAGCUUGUUGGUGGGGUAAUGGCCUACCAAGGCGGCGACGGGUAGCCGGCCUGAGAGGGUGUACGGCCACAUUGGGACUGAGAUACGGCCCAGACUCCUACGGGAGGCAGCAGUGGGGAAUAUUGCACAAUGGGCGCAAGCCUGAUGCAGCGACGCCGCGUGGGGGAUGAAGGCCUUCGGGUUGUAAACUCCUUUCGCUAGGGACGAAGCUUUGUUGUGACGGUACCUAGAGAAGAAGCACCGGCUAACUACGUG
rnacentral:rRNA from 1 species